UUGUAAGUGCAAGGGUUGCUCGACUUUCUAAUAGUGCGAGGGACUACUCGGCUUUUGAGGGACACCAUCCCUUUGAAUUUGUGGGGAUGCCCGGCUUUUAUAGGUGCGUGGCUGCUCUUUUAGAGCAGGGUUUGCCGGGCAUUUGUAGUCACCGUGGUCGCUCUCAUAGAACAGGGUUUGCCUAGGUUUUAUAGUGCGGGCGACUACCUGGCUUUUGACGGACGCCUUUCCUUUUUGUGGUGGGCUGCUCUUAUAUAGAGCAGGGUUUGCCUAGCUGAUAUAGUGCAGGGGACUACAUGAGCAACCUUGUCCUUUUUGUAUGGGUGGCAUGUUUCACUUACCUAGAUACGACUUUAGAAGCCCUUGUUCUUUUUCACAUUUGAUCGACCAAACAUUGUUAGCCUAAAAUGGGAAGCAAAAUCCUAAAUAAUAAUACCAGGAAAAAAGAGAGAGAGAGAUGACGACAACGACGACAACGACGACGACGACGACGAUGGAUCCGUUUUGGAUUUGAUUCGCCCGCCGCCUUCCUUCAUUCAACCCCAAGAAUAUCUCUCACUUGUCCCUCCGACCCCCCAUCCCCCCAAAUCGAUCCGGUUGACUCCUCAAUAUGUCAAUUUGACCGCCGCUUCCGUUAUAUCCGCGUGUUUUCCUCUGAGCUCCUGUUUGAAUUGAUUGUUCCAUGGUGCUUUUAUUGAUCUCCUUUAGCCUCUAACUGUCUCUGAUUUGAGCUCAAGUUUCGUUCCCCCCCCCCUACCUAUCUGUUACGAUGUAUUCCUGUCGGUCGUUGACUCGGAUGCGGUGUUGAAUGACUCGGCCCACGAUCCACUGCGAAUCGAGCUGCAUUGUGCACGCCUGGCCUACUGCGAUGGAGGGAAAGAUGGGAUUUUGCUCGGUAUUGUCUUUGUUUUGGUGGGGUUCUUUGUUUAUCAAUGAACAAGGGGGGGACAUUGACUAAAUAACUACAGAAGGAAUCAUCCUGAUGAGCAGCACCCUUUGAAAAACGUGGCAUGAAUGGGUCAAUAGUUUAUGAACUUCACAGGCCUGAAAAUGCUGGACUAAAGAAAUCUCUCGUACUAUUGCUUUCUUUAGCUUUUUCCCCAUAGUUACAUUCCUGAAUUCAAAUUCCUUUACAACGGUUCUGGAGAAAGCUAAGACUGAAGUGGAUGCAAAACAACAAGUUUCCUGGGCGGACAUGAUUGCUGUCGCUGGAGCUGAAGCAAUUUCAAUUUGUGGUGGUCCUACUAUCCCUGUUACACUAGGCCGGCUUGAUUCUCUGGACCCUGAUUCUCCUGGAAGACUCCCUCAAGAAUCUCUGGAUGCCUCCGCUUUAAAGCAGUGCUUUCAGAUGAAGGGCAUAUCGACUCAGGAACUCGUUGCGUUGCGUUGUCUGGAGCGCAUCAUACGCUUGGUGAUAAAGGCUUUGGCAAUCCAAAUGUUUUCGACAAUUCCUACUACAAGAUUCUUCUCGAGAAGCCAUGGUCGUCUGCAGCUGGAAUGUCGAGCAUGAUUGGACUCCCUUCAGAUCGUACACUUGCCGAGGACAACGAAUGCUUAAGAGAAUGAAAAUCCGUAAAACAAUUUCGAAACCUCCUUUCGAUGAGAGCAUUUCGCAAAGAGCAUCACUCAUCUUCUACACGACACGCGGGGGAAAAUGCAUUGAGAAUUAGAACCACCGCCCAACAGGGUUGCCUUCAGAUGGUCUUUGAGAUGGACUCCCGACGUAUUCAACCCUUCCAGGGGACCCUUGAGCAGAAACCAAUGCCAGAUCUUGUGUACGCAAAGGUAGGCACGCAAUCUUGCCCUGCUCUUUAUCAUUUAUGAUUGUCAGCAAAUUACCUGUCCCCUUCGAUUUCCUGUCCCGUCCUAUCCACCACCAAACACGACAAGAAUCCCUAUCAUACGUACCAUAAAGAGUCUCGCCCCUAUUCGUGUCAAAUCAAAAUCUAAAUUGUCCUCUUCUAAACAUCGAUUCAAAAAUCUUAAGUUUGAAACACCCAGUUAUGCCGCCGUAAACAUAAUUUUGCAAAAUCCAAUAAGGACUCAUUGAUCAAAACAUUAUCAUUCUUCUCUGCAUGUAAAAUGUCAAAAACUAAGGAUGUUCAAUAUUAUCAUUCAUGGAAAACAUUCAAGCCUCAUACCAGGACUUCUAAAAGUACCCACAAAACAUAACUUUUGACAGCAAAGAGUAGGUAGUAGAGCCAACACAUGAA